UGUCACAAGUAAUAAUUACUUCCGACCUUCAUGCCCAAUAUCCCUGACAAUGACCCUACCAAAUAACAAUAACGAACAUUCCAUUAAUGCAUAACAUUUACACGUGGCCUACCAAAGAGAACCCAUACCCAUAUGUUUAACUGUAGGUGUGUACCCAGACACCCCUACACCACCAGGUUCGCAGCCACCAACGAGCUUGAAUCUACCAACCACUUUUCCACUCCGGCCUACUCCAGCCUAGACCUUGGC